AAUGAAUUGCACAAAGAGAACUACGAAUCCUAUAGCUUAUCCCACCUGCGCAGCAACACUGUCUGUCUGGGGGCUGUGCACACGUGAAGUGCUGCGCAAAGGCAUAAAAGUCUAUUUGAAGCGAAAAUCUACUGAAGUGAGACUUUGUCCUUAUGUUUUUUUUAUGUUUGAGUUUCAACUGCUACGGAAGAGAACAUGAAGCAGCUACUAGUCAGUCUCUCUCAAUCGCACAGCACCGUAAAUCCAGAGAACAACAGACUUUGAUGACAAAAUGUGCCCACGAAGGACCGCCGCGCCACCUUCCUGUUCAAGUGAGCACAGCACAACAAGUUAUCCUACGGUUUCUGACUUGGUGUACAGGGAGAACACUGUAAGAACGGCCUAUGUUCUAAAUUCUGUCGCUGUACAUUUCAAAAGUGCUGAACAAAUAGUUAUAUUGACUACAUCCGUCCUAGCUCGCUCAUUAAUGUCUUAAUAGAUAUUACGGAUUGCCUCUUAACCGCUUGUCGUCCCCUUUGUCACAUCUGCUCCCACUACGCCCUCUGGUGUUCAUCCGGUGUCGUCCUAACCUGCAGUUCUCCCCCUGUAUACACUCUCUCUCUUGGUGUGAUUGUGUGGUUGGAGACAGGUGUGCUGGAGUCAGAGCAGAUCCCUACCAGCUGCAAAUCGUCCCAUAAAUCAAGACCUCUACAUAUACUCAUUCUUGCCACCUCCACUCUGCUAGAUUGUAAUCUCUGCUUAGUCAGUUAUCAUGCUAACCUUUUGUCUAUUCUCAAGAUCCUGUUGCUCUGCUGUGCUCAGUUUCCUGCCUUACACCAUUUUUGUCCUCUCCUUGCAGUUACCUCUCUUGCUCCUGUUCCACAUCUCACCACCUUCCUCUGGAUAUCACUCACCACCAUUACCUUGGAUUCCCCUCAGGACCUGUUCCCCUGUUCUACUCAGCCAACUUGAACCUCACUCUACACUCCUGGUUUUUGCAACUCGUCUGAGCUACACCGGUUCUGCACUCCCCAUUUCUGUGUUCAAAAAAAAUAAUUGCAUUCAUCCCGGCUUCCUCUUCUGAGUCCGCUCUUGGGUUCCCCCCUUCGCUCAUCGUAACACCCUUUAUGCCAUAGCUUGUACAUCUCAAUUGUCAGUAGAAACCACAUUUGAUUAAGCAAGUCAGCCAUAUCAGCUAUGUUUUUUUUAUUUUUUAAAGGCAACAAAUGAAGCUGAAUGAAUUGUUUCGCUGCCAGGCAAGGCUCUGUUGAUACCAAGGUGUAGCAGUGGUAAGGUGUUGGGACUGCUGUUGGGACUCUGCUGUUGGGACAGCUUUAUGUAGGCCCUAACAGUUUGUGGACACUGUUUAUAACCAUUAUAGUGCAAUUAAUGUAUUGUUUAGAGUUAUGUUGUAUAGUGGUUUUGCUUGCAUGCAUACCACCACUUUUUUUUUUUUUUGCCCCACCAAGAUUGUGAUGCUAAAAUCUCCACUGCAUUUAGCUAACAUUACAUAGUUCAUCCAGCGAUUCUUACCUUUGCCUCAAUUCGGCAGUCUCGUCCAGAUCAUGGCAUUUGUAGUUAUUUAUGAUAGCCACAUUAUCAGCUAAUUAACAUUUAAUUUGCUGGGGGGUAAAUACAGGUUAAAUAUAAUAAUUUACUUUUGUUUUAUCAUCUUGUGGUACAAACAUAAUGAACAUCAACAUGGGAAACAUGAUAUGCAGUUUAAGCUAAUAAACGGUGGGCAAAUUAUGUUAAUUGUGUUGAAAUGUUCAUAGAAAGGGCC
rnacentral:lncRNA from 1 species